CAUAUAUGAAGGAUAGGAUGGUAAUUGAGCAAUGUACUUAAAAAACCCUCAAUGCAUAAUGUACAACACUUAAAGCACCAAGAAACACAACAUAAUUUACCCUUAAACUGAUUCAUCUUCAGCCGUCCAUUUCUUUCACUUUUUCACACGGAUUGUGAUAUGGACGGCUGAUAUUCAGCUCACACGGAUCAAGGGUUUUACUUUCAUUAUUUUGACUCUCACAAAACUUCAUCAACCUUCUCUCUCUCGGCGACUCAUGAACAGAUCUGUGAGGAUUUCACCAGAUCUAGGGUUUUACUUUCAUUCGAUUUCAAAUCCAUGACCCCAACCUGUGACGGUGUGGUGUGCGGUGUUAAAAUCCGCCGAUUAGGGUUCCGGCAGUGGGAUUCUCCAGCAGAUUGGUGGCAAAUGAGACGAGCAUCUGGCGGUAGAUGGUGAUUGAGGUAGGUUUCGACAACCCGCUUCUGAUUUAUCGGCUGCAUGUACGUUUUCUGACAACGAAGGAUUGUAUUGCUGAUUUCAAUAGUUUAGAAACUGGUGGCGUGUUUGUGCUGGUACGACAAAGCUAGAAAGCGGAGGCGACGGCAAGGGUUUCGAUUAGUGAUCUCGGUCCGAUGUUCUUCACGAUAGAGAUCCACUCGAGAUGGUAAAGAUGGAAUUCCAACAUUGCUUGGGGUUACAGGGGAUAUAUCAGCAGCAGCUACCGCGGAGGAUAUUGAUAUUGCUGUGAAAGCAGCACGCAGAGCUCUUAAACGUGAUGAAGGAAAAGAAUGGGCAUCAGCUUCUGGGGCUCAUCGUGCAAACUAUCUUCUCGCCAUUGCUGCAAAGGUUACUGAGAAAAAGGAUAAGUUCGCUAAGCUUGAAGCCAUUGAUUGUGUAAAACCACUUCAUGAAGUAGCAUGGGAUAUGGAUGACGUUGCUGGAUGUUUUGAAUAUAAUGCUGUUCUUGCUGAAGCUUUGGAUGUAAAACGAAACGCACCUGUUAAUCUUCCAAUGGAUACCUUUAAAUUCCAUAUCAUCAGGGAACCAAUUGGUGUUGUUGGGCUGAUUACUCCAUGGAAUUAUCCUUUGCUAAUGGCUAUUUGGAAAGUUGCAUCUGCACUGGCUGCUGGGUGUGCUGCAGUACUUAAGCCCUCAGAGUUGGCGUCUAUGUUUUCUUACCUAGAUUUUGCUGACCGUGACGCGUUGAAGCACUUGAAACCGAGAACAAAAUUAGAACAAACUGGUCCAGUGGUAACGAUAUAUUGUACUCACUCGAAGACCUAAAAAUAGGAGUCAAAGGGGAUCUAUCAGAGCUUAGACCGGCUCUUUGUGUACAACUUACUUUAGGUGGGCCCGGCCAGGCUCGCUUCUGCUACAAAACCGUACUUCUAACGCCAGCCUAACCCGAAAUUCGCUGGCUUGGGUUCAGUUUAAGUGGAUUUGGCUUUGUGUUAGCUCGAGCUCAUGAACAUGUUUAGCUAAAUUGUUUCAAAACUGAUGCAAAGAUUUCAUGAAAUUGUUUCAGUGUUAUCAGGAAACGGUGACCGGAACUUGUGAUGAAAGGGGUCAGUCAUGGCGCUUGUGAUUAUCUCAUGAAACCGGUUUGCAUUGAGGAGCUAUGCAAUAUAUGGCAGCAUGUGAUCAGGCGAAAAGUUGAGUCAAAAUCACAGUCAAAGUCAAAACACAACCAUGAAGAAUCAGAUCAAGGGAACAAAGGUGGAGAUCAUAAUGAGAAGUUGAACCGAAAACGAAAAGAUGAAGAAGAAGAUGAAGAAAAUGGUAAUGAAAGUGACGAUCCAACGACAAAGAAGAAGCCACGGGUUGUUUGGUCUAUUGAUCUCCAUAGAAAAUUCGUUGCUGCUAUUAAUCAACUGGGCAUUGAGAAAACUAUGCCUAAAAGGAUUCUUGAUUCGAUGAAUGUGGAUGGGCUUACUAGGGAAAAUGUAGCAAGCCAUUUGCAGGCUUUACCUAAUGAGGAUCAGUCAACAAGUUAACAUGGUGGAUGCGUUUGGAAGCAACAACGAUGCAUCUUGUUACAUGAGAAUGAGCCCUCUUGACGGAUUAGGAGAUUUUAGGACAUCAUGUUCAGGAAGAUUGCCAAAUGCCACGUAUGCGCCAUCUGGCAUGCUCGGUAGACUCAACAGUGCAACGAGUGUGUCUUUUCAUAGCCUUACGGCUCCACCCCUGGUCCAACCAAACCAUACCCAAACCAAGCUACAACUGGUUGUAUCUUCAAAUCACCAAAACGUGAAUCUUUUUUAGGGGAUCCCAACGUCUUUCGAUCUUGAUCAACUUUAGUACUGUAAUAAACCCAACGCCCAACUCACCAAUGUCAAUUCCAUUGAAGAAUCUCAAAUCUUUACAGGCUUUAGUAAAGACACUGGGUACUGAUGAGUUAUUUUAUCUAAAGGAGCAAUUUUCGCUAUUAGAACCGAGCAAAACCGGAUCCAUAAGCAUGGAGGAUAUCAAAACGGCCUUGUUGAAGCAUGCUACAGACGCAAUGAAGGAGUCACGAGUCCAUGAUUUUCUAACAUUGACUGCGGUUACAACAAAUGCAACUGAUAACCUUUACUGCACGCUCUUGGCACUCUCGGCGAUUCAUGGUGUCAUGGAUGGGUACACCGGGUUUGUAGCCGGACCGAUCAAUGGAAGCUAUGCGUAUAUUCCGAUGGAAGAGAUUGCGGUCACCAAGAAUCAAGUGGACACCAAAGAUCAUAAAUGGGCAUAGGUUUGAUCCGUCACUGCGCAACCUGAUUUCAAGAGAGGGAUUGAUGCACAAGUUACUUGGUGCUAACUAUAUCACACCCAUAAUGAUCCUGUGUUUAAAGUAACAUUUCAUAUGUGUUUUUCUUAGUUAUUGUUGUUGGUGUACUUACCAUAAUGAUCAUGUUUAAGAUUAUUAAACGGGGUAACUAAAUUUUAAUAUAUUGUUUGUUUAGUUCA